GGCUGAUUGCUCAGUUGGUAGAGCAUGAGAUUCUUAAUCUCAGGGUCAUGCGUUUCAGAGGCGUGGCGGGUGGCAGGAGGGCCA